UUGAUAGGUUGUAGGCUGUUGAGGGACGUUCGCCCUUCGUAGUGACCGGAAUAUUCUGAAAACCGCCACAGGAGCGUAGUAAGGGUUUGACGGCUGGUAGGAAAAUGCGCUCCACGUUUCCGGAGUGAAUCCAUAAGCAUUGGCGAAAUACUCGUCCGAUUGCUGUCUGGAAGCCGCUAAUUGCUGCUGCUCGUUUGGUCCAUCACAAGCACUGGUGACGUGUAGCAUCAAAGCCAAGCAAAGAAUUAGAGAAACUGUUGACAUUUCGACUGUCAGUUCGAGCUUUGCGUCUUUAGUCAAAGUUACUCUAACCUGUUAACGGCUGUCACAGAGAUGGAAAGUCGUCCGGAGUUCCAUCGUCUUAUAUACUGCGAAAAGGACUCACCAAUUGUCACUCAAGUUCAGAUUUCAGGGUUCCGCCCGAGGAAGCAGCCACACAGACUCCGAAAGCAGAAGAGCAGAGUUUAAACUAACCUUUUGCGCAGGUUUUUGUCAACAGCCAAUUUCCGUGAACCGUGAACUUGAGCACUUCCAUCUCUGCGGAAUUCAAGUUUAUGAGAGUUCACUGGAAUACUAACCGAUCGCACAGUUGAAUGGAAAGUGGUAAAACAUGUCCGCACUCUCACUGGCACUUUCUGCUUUUAUCUGAUGUAUCAGCCGUUUUCGACCGACAUUAACGCAACAGCACUUUGCUGAAAAGUUUGGCGCAUUUCAAACUUACAUCCAUUACCGGUAAAAUGUAAGGAACUCAGCAGCGCAAGGCGUCGCCAUUCGACAUUCAAGAUGUUAUCCUGUGACCAUUAAAACCAAUAAAAGCUUAGAGUGCCAGCCAGGCCGAUGAAAAUGAUAAAUUUUCUGGAACAAAGGAAUUUAAGGAGCGGAAGCAAGUUCCUGAAUAAAGUUAGCUGAUGAACUUUGGACGUCCAGUGGCGGAGUAGUUUUUCCAGCCGAGCAGGGGACCUUCCGGCGCAUCCAGUGGAAGAUACGUGGACUAAAGAAGUCGCCCAAAUUAAAAUUGGAUAAAUGAGCAUUCCACUGGUGAAAUCGGGAAUAAUGAACUCUGCUGGGAAAACAAGUCGAGGAUUUGCAUUUCAACAUUUGGAUUUGUGUCUGGCGAUCGCUUAUUCAUCUUCUUGAUAUUGGUCUAAACGACUAAACUGCUCAAGGCUUCCAACAGCAGAUACUCUCUCUGUAGUAGUAGGCGGUCGAGUUGCAUAAAUUGGCAACGCCGUUUUCACCAAAGUACAAUUUAUACUUGGUAAUACCAUCUGAUUAAGUGGCUUGAAACUGAUGUGUACAACAUUUUCCCAAAUCUCGUCUCUUCUCUCUUGCAGCAUGUACCGGCUGUACGUUUCGUUACAUGGAAAACAAACUGCAGAACAAUAAAAGUCAUUCUGAGCUUCUUCAUUGCAAUCCGAUGUGCACAUGGAUUUGUUGCAGCCAGCUGGUGGAAGGUGUUACUCUUUCAGGCUUGCUAUCUGUAGCGGUUGAAGCUUUCAUUACAUGCAGAAACACUACAGAACAAUUUAAAGUAUUAGGAUUAACAGCCUGGUGAAGUAGUUUUUACGUCUUGGGAUUUCAUCAGUAACAGUUCUUUCAAUCAUGUAGUUAAUUAUGGAUGC
rnacentral:misc_RNA from 1 species